UAGGUAUGAUGGCCAACGAGCUCAGAUUUUGUGCUCUUGCAUCCCCCAUGUGGGCUGGAUGAAUCACCAUGGAAUGAACCUGGAAUUUUAACUGCUAGAAAGGAUUUAGACUACAUUGGAUGAGAAGAACUGUUGGAAGCCUUGAAGAGGCAAAAGGGUACGUUUGAAACCGGUCAAGAAGAUAGUACUGAAAUUCUGGAGGAGUUAAAGCUGAGGUUGGCAUACAGGGAAGCAGCUGUGGCUGUUCUUGCAUGCUACAAUCCAAAUCCUCACCGUCCUUUCACUGAGACUAAUAUUCGUUCCAUUCGCAGCAAGCCAAAUAUGCGUUAUGUUGAGACUACCGGAAGGUUUUUUUGAGAAAGUUAGAUUAUGUAGAAUCUAUAGUCCGUGCAUGUGCCCGUAAGUCUUAUAUCUCUCUUUCCUUUAAUUACUCUUUUUUUUUUUUUUUUUGUCCUUGUGCCAAAUAGUUCACUGUUCAGGUGCAUAAGCCAAUCAAAUUAUCAUUGGCUUAUGGAUCUAGUGCAUGCAUGUCACAUGUGCAGUAAUGACAUGGGGCAUGGUACCUCCCAUGCCUCCAAUGGCACUGGAUCUAGUCCCUUUCUGGUUACUUGAGUGUGAAUUUCACACAAUUUUGCUUGGUGCACUCCAUCUUGACUCAGGUGUUUAUUGUCUCAUUUGAAUUUUCUGUUAUCUGUAGAGUUUUUUAGCGGUACUGGGUCCGAAUGGAAGUGGUAAAAGCAACGUCAUAGAUGCAAUGCCCUUUGUAUUUGGGAAACGAGCUAAGCAGGUAAGCUCCAUUU